CCGAUUCGUCACAUUCGUUAUUAUUUGGCGGAAUGCUGGUUCCAUACCCGAAAGCUGCAUUGUCCUUAAAUCUGAAAUAGAAGGUAGUACUGAAACCAACAGUACUAAGCCGGAACUACGUACUAUAGGAUGCUGGUUUAGUCCAUUAUCAGGAGGAGUAAUCAAUAAUGCCGUGUGCAAACUGACGUCCAAAGUUCCCACAACGGUAACAAUGAAUGUUAAUGGGGGUCUCAACUGAAUAUACAAUUAUCAAGAAAAACAUAUUUUACCCCCACUUGAAGUAUUUGUCAAACAAAUGACUUUGCUCAGCUCUUGGCGUCAGAUCCAAAAUUACCUCGUCGGUCAUACCUCACUCAGAAAUUUUCUCUCUCUCAAAAAAACCCUUAUUAAACUUUCAAAAAUUAUAUAUAAUACACGCAAACAUUGCGUACGUACCAAAAAUCUUUAGUACGCAUACACCCGUCGCGCAAUACUAACUGUAUUUGCUAUCAGCAAUGACUGGCAUUGAUGGGACUGUACUCGCAACAAUAAAAUCUGCAGCGGUCUGCACGAGUCUUAAGUCGCUAAUUAACAA